ACUCCCAAACUACUUGCCUCCAGCUCUCUUAAUGAUGUCUGCUGCCUGAUGACUUCUGGGGAGCACACACACUGGGAGCCUGGAGAGAUUCUACUGUUUACAGAAGACUUUUUUCCCUCCUCUACAUAGAAAAUGAAAGAGGGAGAGGAGAGAUACUUCAAUACCACCCCACCACUCAUGAAACCUCCCCCCUGAAGGUGCUCCUAUGUGAUUGUCCAAGAUGGAACCCAAGUCUUUGCACAUGGUGACAUGUGUGCUCUAUUGGAUCUUGUAUUACAAGCAAAGCUGAACCCAUCUGCUAAUUCUCAAGCCUGCUCCUCUUCAGUGCUGCCAUCUUGGUGAGGACCCUGAGCCAGAAACCAGGAAGUCACCAUCCCACAACCCUUACACCUCCUCUGGCACCAGGAGGCAUCUCUCACUGCCAUGGAAACUUCUCUUGAAUCUGUCUCUUCUCUCUGCCCUCUGGUCACACCUCCUCACUUCUUCCCUGAUGGCUCAUUACUUCCUCCACUGAUUCCCCCAUUCCUGCCCACCUUCCUUAGAGGAUCAAAAGCACUCAUCAUGUCCUGUCCAC